UACGGGGGGGGGCAAGCGUUGUUCGGAAUUACUGGGCGUAAAGGCUCGUAGGCGGCCAACUAAGUCAGACGUGAAAUCCCUCGGCUUAACCGGGGAACUGCGUCUGAUACUGGUCGUCUUGAGGAAGGUAGGGGCAUGCGGAACUGAUGGUGGAGCGGUGAAAUGUGUUGAUAUCAUCAGGAACUCCGGUGGCGAAAGCGGCGUGCUGGACCUUUUCUGACGCUGAUGCGCGAAAGCCAGGGGAGCAAACGGGG
rnacentral:rRNA from 1 species